UCCCUGGUGGUCCAGUGGUCAGGACUCUGCACUAUCACUGCUGGGGCCCGAGUUCAAUCCUUGGUCAGAGAA